UUAACCGUUCAUUAACAAGUUCCAUGCUUUAUAAUAUAUAUAAAGUUGGUAAGGACGUGAAGAAAACAGGUUUGUAAAUGAUGUUGUACAUCAUGCAGAUAGCUCAGAAGAAGAAGCAGAAAUGUUUGACUGGAAAUAUAAACGAUGUUGUACAUAAUGCAGAAAGCUUAGGCAAAAAAGAGAUUGGUGAAAUGGAGAAUGAGACUACGGUGAAAAAAAUAAUGAAUAUCAAAAAGUAAAUGGUACUUUGUUUGACAUCUACCUGUUUCUACAGAUACAGUGCAGUCGCACUUAUAAAUAGGCUUGAUGUUUUUUUGGA
rnacentral:lncRNA from 1 species